rnacentral:SRP_RNA from 14 species
GGUCCGGAAGGCAGCAACCACCGCCAG